CCUACGGGUGGCAGCAGGGAGGAAUAUUGGACAAUGGGGGAAACCCCGAUCCAGCAACGCCGCGUGAGGGAUGAAGGCCUUCGGGUCGUAAACCUCUUUUAAGGGAGACGAGAAAGGACGGUAUCCCUGGAAUAAGUCACGGCUAACUACGUGCCAGCAGCCGCGGUAAUACGUAGGUGACGAGCGUUAUCCGGAUUUACUGGGCGUAAAGCGCUUGUAGGUGGCUCUGUAAGUUGGGCGUGAAAACACCAGGCUUAACCUGGUGACGCCGUCCA
rnacentral:rRNA from 1 species